UCAGCACAGUAUUUUUCCGUAGCCUAAUCCAAUCUAAACAAUCUCUAAAUAUAUCACAGACUGUGAAAUUUCAAUCCCUGUCCUGUCAGCCUGUUCAUGUGAAGACGGAUGAUAUGCCUGAUGAAGUCAAAGGGCCUGAUCCUGCUACUGCUGAAGUAACUAAUAAAUCUCCCAUUAACUUCAGAGAAGCCCUGAAGGAGCCACUUGGUCAAAUUGCUCAAUUAAACAGAGGUAGGAGGUCCUUUCCAGGUGUAAUGAGUUCACAGCAGUUACAUGUGCACAGGCCUUCUCCCUGAAGGAAAGGUUCACCUCUGUAAGCUUUUGGAAAUGAAAAACAAGUCAGAAAGAAAUGGAGAUGGUGUUCAGAAUGGGAGGCUGUUAUUUUAGGCAGCUCUUGACCAGAACAGGCAGCACAGGGACUCGAUGAAAGCCACUUAUUACAAAGUAGCCAUCACGAGUGUUUUGGAGACAGAGAGCCAGGCAGCCCCUGAAGCAGGACAGCAGACCAAGGAGGGUGCAGACUGGGAGAUGUCUGUGCCCUGGGGUGCCUGGAGAGAUGCACCUAGAGGAAACUUUGCAGACCAACUGAAAAAGAGGUGCAGAACAACCUUCAUUUCUCCUUACCCUGGCAAGGACUGGAGUUUGACAGCAUACUGAUGAAAAAAAGACAUUAUGUGAAUGGCAGAAAAGAUACAGUAGCAAGGUGAUCCUACUACAUAUGGAUAUGUACAGAGAGAUAUCUCAGAACAUCUUCAUUUAAUUUUCUCUUCUGCAAAAGAGAUGGAACAAGGAGGUUUUCAUUUCAAGAUAAAUGCUAAUUGACACUCUGCCUCCCAGGAAAAUAUCACAUGAAGAAAAUGCAGCCUUCCCUGCAGAACAGAGAAGACUGCAAAAUGCUGUUCUGAAUUCCUGAGCUUCAUGGCAUUGAGUUUUAAAUUUUCAUGUCUCCAGGUUUUCAAUAUUUACUUUCAUUUCCUUAUCAAGUUAUAAAAAGGAUGAUGAUUUCAUUACUUGUGACUUAUUCUUGGGACUUUGGAAGUACCAGUAUCAGUCACUAGUAUUAUUAAAAAACAGUACAGACCCCUGUAUCAGGGGAGGAAAAAUCCAAACAUGGACAGAUUUGUUUCUUUCCUCUUUAUGUGAAAAUGAUAGUACUCCCUAACACAACCCAAAUAGUGAAGAAUGAUACUCAUUCAAUUUUGUUUCAACGUUAUAUUCUGCUUUACUUUAUAGAAUAUUUGGAAAAAUUCAGAAUAUCUUUUUUUUUCUUCCCAAAAAGAUACUAAAGGGAAUUUCUUAUUCUUCUAAUCUUAAUUAAACAUCGGUAUGUGUAAAAUGUUUUGUGGCUACACGUUCCUUCAAGCUUCCACUUCAAGAUGAAAUGUUUGUUUAAUGUUUUCCACAAAACGCACACCUCAAGAUUUCAUAGAUACCAGAAUUCUGAAAUUCUAAGUUAUUAUACACAUUGGAAAUGUAAGGAUAUCACACCUGUGCUUUCAUUCUGAA